GCGCCUUAUGCAUGCAAGUCGAGCGAAGCUUUUCAGUAGUUUACUACAGAAAAUGACUGAGCGGCGAACGGGUGAGUAACGCGUGAGCAAUCUACCUUAGUUACAGGGAUAGCCCGAGGAAACUCGGAUUAAUACCUGAUAUUCUUUAUUUCUCGCAUGAGAAUAAAAGGAAAGGUCAGCCGAACUAAGAUGAGCUCGCGUUCUAUCAGCUAGUUGGUGAGGUAAAAGCUCACCAAGGCUACGACGGAUAGCUGGUCUGAGAGGACGAUCAGCCACACUGGGACUGAGACACGGCCCAGACUCCUACGGGAGGCUGCAGCAGGGAAUAUUGCGCAAUGAGCGAAAGCUUGACGCAGCGACACCGCGUGUGGGAUGACGGAUCUAGGUUUGUAAACCACUUUCAGGAGGGAAGAAAAUGACGGUACCUCCACAAGAAGCCCCGGCCAA
rnacentral:rRNA from 1 species